UACGGGGGAUGCAAGCGUUAUCCGGAUUUAUUGGGCGUAAAGCGAGCGCAGGUGGUUUAUUAAGUCUGGUGUAAAAGGCAGUGGCUCAACCAUUGUAUGCAUUGGAAACUGGUAGACUUGAGUGCAGGAGAGGAGAGUGGAAUUCCAUGUGUAGCGGUGAAAUGCGUAGAUAUAUGGAGGAACACCGGUGGCGAAAGCGGCUCUCUGGCCUGUAACUGACACUGAGGCUCGAAAGCGUGGGGAGCAAACAGG
rnacentral:rRNA from 1 species